rnacentral:rRNA from 1 species
AGAGUUUGAUCCUGGCUCAGGACGAACGCUUGCGACGUGCCUGAGAAAUGCAAGUCGAGCGGACAGAAGGAUUUCGGUUCUUUUGUUAGCGGCGAACGGUCGAGUAACACGUAACCGACCUGCCCUUGGGUCUGGGAUAGCCCACCGAAAGGUGGAUUAAUACCGGAUUGUCUCAUUUUGGUGCAUGCCUUAAUGAGUAAAGAUUUAUCGCCCAAGGAGGGGGUUGCGGCCUAUCAGCUGGUUGGUGAGGUAACGGCUCACCAAGGCGACGACGGGUAGCUGGUCUGAGAGGAUGGUCAGCCGGAUUGGGACUGAGACACGGCCCAAACUCCUACGGGGGGCAGCAAUCAGGAAUCUUGCGCAAUGGGGGCAACCCUGACGCAGCGACGUCGCGUGGAGGAAGACGGCCUUCGGGUUGUAAACUCCUUUUGUAAGGGACGAGUAAGGACGGUACCUUACGAAUAAGCCCCGGCUAACUCCGUGCCAGCAGCCGCGGUAAUACGGAGGGGGCGAGCGUUGUCCGAAUUUAUUGGGCGUAAAGCGCGUGUAGGCGGACUUUUAAGCCUGAGGUGAAAGGUUGGGGCUCAACCCCAUACAGUGCCUUGGGAACUGGAAGUCUGGAGGCAGGCAGAGGAGUGUGGAAUUCCUGGUGUAGCGGUGGAAUGCGUAGAGAUCAGGRAGAACACCCGUGGCGAAGGCGGCACUCUGGGCCUGUACUGACGCUGAGACGCGAAAGCGCGGGGAGCGAACAGGAUUAGAUACCCUGGUAGUCCGCGCCGUAAACGAUGGAUGCUCGGUGUCGGGGGUAUCGACCCCCCUCGGCGCCUCAGUUAACACGGUAAGCAUCCCGCCUGGGGGAGUACGGCCGCAAGGUUGAAACUCAAAGGAAUUGACGGGGACCCGCACAAGUAGCGGAGCAUGUGGUUUAAUUCGAAGCAACGCGAAGAACCUUACCUAAGCUUGACAUCCUUUUGACCUCUCCCUAAUCGGAGAUUUCCCUUCGGGGACAGAAGUGACAGGUGGUGCAUGGUUGUCGUCAGCUCGUGUCGUGAGAUGUUGGGUUAAGUCCCGCAACGAGCGCAACCCUUGCCUUUAGUUGCCAGCAUUAAGUUGGGCACUCUAGAGGGACUGCCAGGGAUAACCUGGAGGAAGGUGGGGAUGACGUCAAAUCAUCAUGCCCCUUAUGCUUAGGGCUACACACGUGCUACAAUGGGUGGUACAGAGGGCAGCCAAGUCGUGAGGCGGAGCUAAUCCCUUAAAGCCAUUCUCAGUUCGGAUUGUAGGCUGAAACUCGCCUACAUGAAGCUGGAGUUACUAGUAAUCGCAGAUCAGAAUGCUGCGGUGAAUGCGUUCCCGGGUCUUGUACACACCGCCCGUCACACCACGGGAGUUGGAGGCGCCCGAAGCCGGAUAGCUAACCUUUUGGAAGCGUCCGUCGAAGGUGAAGCCAAUAACUGGGGUGAAGUCGUAACAAGGUAACCGU